GCCUGGGUGGCUCAGUCGGUUAAGCGUCCGACUUCAGCUCGGGUCAUGAUCUCACGGUUUGUGAGUUCAAGUCCCGCAUUGGGCC
rnacentral:tRNA from 1 species